UUGUUUGGGAAUGCAGCCCUAAGUAGGUGGUAAACUUCAUCUAAGGCUAAAUAUUAGCGAGAGACCGAUAGCGCAGAAGUACCGUGAGGGAAAGAUGCAAAGUACUUUGAAAGGAGAGUGAAAUAGGACCUGAAACCGCUAAGGGGGAAGCGGAUGAAGUCAGUAUGCGAGGUUGCGUCCAGAGUUCUUUUUAGGGCUU
rnacentral:rRNA from 12 species